rnacentral:tRNA from 1 species
UCCCUGGUGGCUCAGAGGGUAAAGCAUCUGCCUGUGAUGCAUAAGACCCAGGUUCCAUCCUGGGUCAGGAAG